CUUGAUCGAGCCGAGCAGCAGCGGCUCGGUGCGGUUCUGGCCGUAGGUGGCGAGUAGCGCCUGGGCCUC
rnacentral:antisense_RNA from 1 species